rnacentral:pre_miRNA from 1 species
AUACUACUCCCUUCGUUCAGAAUUACUUGUCGUGGAAAUGAAUGUAUCUAGAUAUAUUUUAGUUCUAGAUACAUCCAUUUCCGAGACAAGUAAUUCCGAACGGAGGAAGUAUUAC